rnacentral:tRNA from 1 species
GGCGAGCGUCGAGAGGACGACUUGCUUGCCUGCCGCCUGCAGGCGCUCGAUCAAUUCCGGCCAGAGACCGUCGGUGAAAGGCUGACGCUUGCCGC